CGCGUAGGAAUUUACCUUUCGGUGGGGGAUAGCCCGGUGAAAACCGGAUUAAUACCGCAUACGCCCUACGGGGAAAGGGCGGGAGUCUUCGGACCGGUCACUAUUGGAGGAGCCUGCGCUGGAUUAGCUAGUUGGUAGGGUAAAGGCUUACCAAGGCAACGAUCCAUAGCUGGUCUGAGAGGAUGAUCAGCCACACUGGAACUGAGACACGGUCCAGACUCCUACGGGAGGCAGCAGUAGGGAAUAUUGCACAAUGGGCGAAAGCCUGAUGCAGCCAUGCCGCGUGUGUGAAGAAGGCCC
rnacentral:rRNA from 1 species